rnacentral:rRNA from 1 species
UACGAAGGGGGCUAGCGUUGUUCGGAAUUACUGGGCGUAAAGCGCACGUAGGCGGAUACUUAAGUUAGGGGUGAAAUCCCAGAGCUCAACUCUGGAACUGCCUUUAAUACUGGGUAUCUCGAGUCCGAGAGAGGUGAGUGGAAUUCCGAGUGUAGAGGUGAAAUUCGUAGAUAUUCGGAGGAACACCAGUGGCGAAGGCGGCUCACUGGCUCGGUACUGACGCUGAGGUGCGAAAGCGUGGGGAGCGAACGGG